AUGGGCUCUCCUAAUAUGUUUGUUACUAUUUCUAGAAUUCCAAUUGAUAUUAGUAUGGUAAGAAAAAUAUAUUCCAAUUUUGAAAAGAAUAAAUGAAUAAUUCAACAAUUAUAGCAAGCUUAGUUCUCCAAUAUUUCACUUAACAAAAUCAUAAAAAUUUCCUUAUGUGGGCAUAUUUAUUAUAGAUUAUCUGAUAUUCAUGGCUAGACUGAAAUUUAUUUUUUUGCCAAAAUUCUUUUAUAAUGCUAUUUAUAGUGUUCCAUGUGGGCCAACAUGGGAAUAACCUAUAUCAUAGCAAAGUCAUCG
rnacentral:lncRNA from 1 species